rnacentral:rRNA from 1 species
AAUUUUGGUCGAUGGGCGCAAGCCUGAUCCAGCCAUGCAGCGUGUUUGAGGAAGGACUUCGGAUUGUAAUGAUCUUUAAGUUAGGAAGGAGGGCCGAUACCAAAGCCUUCACUUUUUCGACGUCACCAAAAUAAUAAUCACCGGCUAACUACAUUCCGGCCGCCGCGGUAAUACGAAGGGUGCAAGCGGUAAUCGGAAUUACUGGGCGUAAAGCGGCCAUAGGUGGUACGUUAAGUUGGAAGUGAAAGCCCCGGGCUCAACCUGGGAAUUGCUUUCAAAACUGGCGAGCUAGAGUACGGUAGAGGGUGGUGGAAUUUCCUGUAUAGCGGUGAAAUGCGUAGAUAUAGGAAGGAACAUCAGUGGCGAAGGCGACCACCUGGACUGAUACUGACACUGAGGUGCGAAAGCGUGGGGAGCAAACAGG